GACGAACGCUGGCGGCGUGCUUAACACAUGCAAGUCGAACGGAAAGGCCUUGCUUUUGUGGGGUGCUCGAGUGGCGAACGGGUGAGUAACACGUGAGUAACCUGCCCUUGACUUUGGGAUAACUUCAGGAAACUGGGGCUAAUACCGGAUAGGAGCUCCUGCUGCAUGGUGGGGGUUGGAAAGUUUCGGCGGUUGGGGAUGGACUCGCGGCUUAUCAGCUUGUUGGUGGGGUAGUGGCUUACCAAGGCUUUGACGGGUAGCCGGCCUGAGAGGGUGACCGGCCACAUUGGGACUGGGAUACGGCCCAGACUCCUACGGGAGGCAGCAGUGGGGAAUAUUGCACAAUGGGCGGAAGCCUGAUGCAGCAACGCCGCGUGCGGGAUGACGGCCUUCGGGUUGUAAACCGCUUUCGCCUGUGACGAAGCGUGAGUGACGGUAAUGGGUAAAGAAGCACCGGCUAACUACGUG
rnacentral:rRNA from 1 species